rnacentral:lncRNA from 1 species
UUAUCCUCCUGAAACCGAGGAGAAGUACCCUUUUCCAUCACCUCUCGAAGAGAGUACCGCUCCAUCUCUCUAUCGCGAGAUCGAUGGUUCUUGGCGUCAGUGGUCCGUUCUAAUCCGAAACGGUUUCCACGUUGUCCCUAUCCUUGACCGGGGCGAGUAUGGGACUGGGUAUGUUUCUUUUUGUUCUGUUUUUCUAACCGAUAUUUCAGGCUAUCCUUUGCCUUCCAAUUCGGGUAGUUGUUCU